UUAAACAACAAUAAUAGGUCUUUUUGUGUUUUAAAAACAGCUACAACAAAGGCAUUUAUCGAGAAAGACAUGAGCCUUCCAGCCACACCAAGACUCAUAAUGCUUGGUAACAAUUCCUCUCUUCCACAAAGUGGAUGGUAAGCAUUGAGGGAAAGGUGGCCUAUGUUUUGGAUGAGCACCUGGGAUGAGCAGAUGCCUUUCUGUAUUCUUCAUCUUCUUUUACGUUUUCAACAUUGAAUACCAGGAGACUGCCUGUGCAACACUGGAACUCAUAAAACAGUUUUUCGUGAGGAUAAACCCAGAGGAGGGAACAAAAUGCACUGCCAAAACCGCAGUGAGUCGGAAGACAGGGGAAGUUGUGAAGAGAAAGAAAACGGUAAUCAACAACAGUGUCAUCCUUUCUUCGCCACCUAAUGGAGUUUGAGUGGAGAAACUCAGACUAGGUGAGAUGCUUCUUAACAGGACAUCUACUGUAUACAGACACUUUUCAAUUUGAGGAUACUAAUGCAGCUUGCUUUUAAUUCAUCCUGCAAU